rnacentral:rRNA from 1 species
UACGUAGGGGGCAAGCGUUGGUCCGGAAUCAUUGGGCGUAAAGAGCGUGUAGGCGGUCCGGUCAGUCGGUUGUGAAAGUCAAGGGCUCAACCCUUGAAUGCCGGCCGAUACUGCCGGGCUAGAGUCCGGAAGAGGUGAGUGGAAUUCCUGGUGUAGCGGUGAAAUGCGCAGAUAUCAGGAGGAACACCGAUGGCGAAGGCAGCUCACUGGGACGGUACUGACGCUGAGACGCGAAAGCGUGGGGAGCAAACAGG